rnacentral:misc_RNA from 1 species
GAUGAAGAACGUAGCGAAAUGCGAUACGUAAUGUGAAUUGCAGAAUUCAGUGAAUCAUCGAAUCUUUGAACGCAUAUUGCGCUCUCUGGUAUUCCGGAGAGCAUGCUUGUUUGAGUAUCAGUAAACACCUCAACUUCCAUAUCUUUUUUGAAAUGGGAGUUGGACUUGAGUGAUCCCAACGCUUUUCCUCACCGAAAAGUGGCGGGUUACUUGAAAUGCAGGUGCAGCUGGACUUUUCUCUGAGCUAUAAGCAUAUCUAUUUAGUCUGCCUAAAAAACAGAUUAUUACCUUUGCUGCAGCUAACAUAAAGGAGAUUAGUUCAUGUGCUGACUGAUGCAGGAUUCACAAAGACAGGCUUCGGCCGACUUUGUAAACUCGAUCUCAAAUCAAGUAAGACUACCCGCUGAACUUAAGCAUAUCAAUAAGCGGAGGA